GCCUUUGUGGCCAAGCGGUAAGGCGCCCCACUCGUAAUGGGGAGAUUCGUCGGUUCGAUCCCGACCGAAGGCA